rnacentral:sRNA from 1 species
UAACUUUGGUCACAGUUAGCUCCAAGCAC